rnacentral:rRNA from 1 species
ACGGAGGAUCCAAGCGUUAUCCGGAAUCAUUGGGUUUAAAGGGUCCGUAGGCGGUUUAGUAAGUCAGUGGUGAAAGCCCAUCGCUCAACGGUGGAACGGCCAUUGAUACUGCUAAACUUGAAUUAUUAGGAAGUAACUAGAAUAUGUAGUGUAGCGGUGAAAUGCUUAGAGAUUACAUGGAAUACCAAUUGCGAAGGCAGGUUACUACUAAUUGAUUGACGCUGAUGGACGAAAGCGUGGGUAGCGAACAGGAUUAGAUACCCUGGUAGUCCACGCCGUAAACGAUGGAUACUAGCUGUUGGGAGCAAUCCCAGUGGCUAAGCGAAAGUGAUAAGUAUCCCACCUGGGGAGUACGUUCGCAAGAAUG